rnacentral:misc_RNA from 1 species
GAAGAACGCAGCGAAAUGCGAUAAGUAAUGUGAAUUGCAGAAUUCAGUGAAUCAUCGAAUCUUUGAACGCAUCUUGCGCUCCUUGGUAUUCUGAGGAGCAUGCCUGUUUGAGUGUCAUUAAAUUCUCAACUACACUGACUUUGAAUUGGUGUGGCUUGGAUUUGGGGGGAAAAUUGUUGUGGGCUUUUUGUAUAGUCUGCUCCCCUGAAAUUGAUUAGCGGUACCUUUGUGGAACUGUCUACAGGUGUGAUAAUUAUCUACAUCUUAGACAUCUGCUGGAAUGCUGCUUUCUAAACCUUACUUGUAUUGACAAUCUUGACCUCAAAUCAGGUAGGACUACCCGCUGAACUUAAGCAUAUCAAUAAGCGAAGGA